GAACUUACAGUCGUGCUGUAUUGAAACUGAAUGGCAGAAUCAAUAUAGGCCUAAUUCAGGCCAGGAUAUCGACGAUAGCAUCACACCAGUUUACCUGAGCCCCUAUUUGUAUUUGAGCGUUCCAGUUGCAUUGAUCCUUGUCGGCCUAAUUGUUGGUAUUGCGUCUAAAGUCGUUCGUUGUAAAACCUGUGCUGCCAACACGAACUCAACAAUAGCUACAACAUGUACCGUUUUAGAAGUCACAGGGCCCACCUGUACUCAUGGUCCGUACCAACUGAUCGACAACCCACCUAGCUACCCCGUUACACCCUCAACUAGGUUGGGCCGUCCGCAGUAGGAGUAUAAUGCAAGCAAAUGAUUUGCUUAAAAGGCUGGUAUUUCAACGCUAGGCCUACAUAUCUUAAGCCUCUUGGCAAAUACUGAACUGAAAUUAUAUUAAAUCAAGACAGCUAGAAACAUUGCUUUAGGAAAAAUAGUGCAUUCGUCUGUUUUGAUGGAAUAAGUUCAGGUAUGUUUUUAAAAAAAUAGACUCAGACAAACGCAAUGUACACGCAUGUGUAUUAUAGUAAUGGUUUACACGGUAAAGUUGAUGAUUUUAGGAUGCACUCGACCUCACCUGAGAUUUCAUAUGAACAGUUUAUUUCAAAACGCGAUAUUUAUCCAUUUGAAAAUGAAGGUGGGACAUUUGCACUGUUAUUAAACUUUGAAGAAUAACAACAAUAGAACCACUGAUUCUUAGGCCCCCCAAAAAGUCUCCGGUUUCUUGUUGGAGCGUGCCCAAAAAUGGUGCGGCGACGAGGCUUUUUAUUUUUUUACCUGUUUUUUUUUGCUUCAAAUGUAGGCUGAUGACUGCAAAUGUUGCCUGAC